CCUACGGGUGGCAGCAGUCGAGAAUCAUUCACAAUGGGGGAAACCCUGAUGGUGCGACGCCGCGUGGGGGAAUGAAGGUCUUCGGUUUGUAAACCCCUGUCAUGUGGGAGCAAAUUAAAAAGAUAGUACCACAAGAGGAAGAGACGGCUAACUCUGUGCCAGCAGCCGCGGUAAUACAGAGGUCUCAAGCGUUGUUCGGAAUCCCUGGGCGUAAAGCGUGCGUAGGCUGUUUCGUAAGUCGUGUGUGAAAGGCGCGGGCUCAACCCGCGGACGGCACAUGAUACUGCGAGACUAGAGUAAUGGAGGGGGAACCGGAAUUCGCGGUGUAGCAGUGAAAUGCGUAGAUAUCGAGAGGAACACUCGUGGCGAAGGCGGGUUCCUGGACAUUAACUGACGCUGAGGCACGAAGGCCAGGGGAGCGAAAGGGAUUAGAUACCCCAGUAGUC
rnacentral:rRNA from 1 species